CAUGAGUGCUAUAUCUACUGCACUGUCAAAGAACUUAGAAUGGAUUUACCCCAUGAGUUAUAAACAACAAGGACAUUAUGAAUGUGGAUACUAUGUCAUGAAUUGGAUGUCAGAAAUAAUUGAAGGGGGAGUAACAAAUGGUUGGAGUGAGCUUUUUGAAGAUGCUACACCAUUGGGGGAAACCAAAUUGGAAGACAUUCGGAUUCAUUGGGGAAAUUUGUUUUUAGAAAAAUUUAGAAAUAGAUCAUGUUGAAAGGUCUAGUAUUACAUGUAAAAUUUAGAAAUAGGUGAAUGUGGUUUCAGUAUUAGGCUGCCCAGUGCAUGUCUAAUGUAGUGUGACCUAAUUUUUUUGAUCUUCUCUUCUCCUUGUAAGAGAAAAACUCUUCUUUAUGGAUACUAGAUUAGCCUCUCUUGGUUUCCAAGUAUAUUGUUUCUUUAGUAUUAUAUAUAUUAUAUAAUGAUGUAAUUGAGCCAUUUCUAUAA